rnacentral:misc_RNA from 1 species
AAACCUUCAAGCUCAGCUUGGUGAUGGGUGACUGUCCUCCCCUCGCGGGGGGACUCGCCUCAAAAACAUUGGCGGCCGGUACAUUGGCUUCGAGCGCAGCAGAAACGCGGUCUCGAGUCCGAUGGACUGGCUCCCAUAAGCCUUCUUUUA